AUGUACCUAAAUGUUACCUCUCCUGUAACACAAAAGGGGAAAAUAACAUAUCAAGAAAUAUAUGCUCUUAGAAUUGAUAAAGAAAUACCAAAACGAAAAAGUCACAAGAGAUCACCAAAUCAAGACCUCCUAAUGGUUAGAUUUGUAAUUCUGAAAACAACUAAACACAAAAAUCAACAUUACUACAUUACAUUCCCAUAG